rnacentral:rRNA from 1 species
UACGUAGGGUGCGAGCGUUGUCCGGAAUUAUUGGGCGUAAAGAGCUCGUAGGCGGCUUGUCGCGUCGGAUGUGAAAGCCCGGGGCUUAACUCCGGGUCUGCAUUCGAUACGGGCAGGCUAGAGUUCGGUAGGGGGAGAUCGGAAUUCCUGGUGUAGCGGUGAAAUGCGCAGAUAUCAGGAGGAACACCGGUGGCGAAGGCGGAUCUCUGGGCCGAUACUGACGCUGAGGAGCGAAAGCGUGGGGAGCGAACAGG